AUAAAUUCUGGAAGCAGACAGCCUGAGAAUAAAUCCCAGUUCCCCAUUUACUAGGGGAGCAAGUUACUUGACAUUUUACACAUGCCUCAAUUUCCUCACCUUAGAAAGGGUGUAGUCCAUUUCACUGGGUCAUUAGGAAGAUUAAAGAGUCAACACGUGUAACAUACUUGGAACAAUGCCUGGCGCAUAGUAACUGCUCAGUAAGGGUCAGCUAUUAUUAUGGCCAGACUCGCCAUGUGAGAAAUUUUGAAAAACGGGCACCAAGCAGCUAUAGAAAUUUUCUCUCCGGAACUGCCUACUCAGAGCAGCCCGGGAUGGGCAGCAGCCUUCCUCAGCUCUAUAACAGCCAUCUUCUAGGCCUGCAGUAAAACACACAUUUAAGUCACCAAAAGAGAAAAACUAGAGACCAAACGAGGAUGUUUCAGUGCAUUCAAGCUUCUCAAGAUUUUAUGCCAGCCAUUCAUUUCCAGAUUUUCUGACCCAGGAGCACCAAAAAACAAAACAAAACGGAAGCUUUUUGUGUAUGUGAUGGAUAAGGAGGGUGUUAAAGGAGACUGAACCACUAGGUGGCAGCAGAUGAGCAGACGAACCAAAAACAACCAAUUGCCUCUCCUUUUAGGAGCCGUUGCACCAAUCCCCACCUACAGGGUUCAACAGUAGAGCCCGCUACCCAGGGAUGGGCUAAUCCAGACGCUCAGGCCCCGCCAUGUGAGAGGAGAGAACCACACGCAGGGAGGACGAGGCCUCUUCUGAGAGCCUGAAACGCUGUGACAGUACUUCCUCUAUCAAGCGGACACCUCACUGGCCCAGGUAACAGUAAUCCUAGCUCCCAGUGCCUCAAAAAAAAAGAGAGCUCUCAUUACCUCUUUGGCUGGUCUCCUUU